rnacentral:rRNA from 1 species
GACUCCUACGGGAGGCAGCAGUGAGGAAUAUUGGUCAAUGGGCGAGAGCCUGAACCAGCCAAGUCGCGUGAAGGAAGAAGGAUCUAUGGUUCGUAAACUUCUUUUUUAGGGGAAUAAAGUGCGGUACGUGUACCGUUUGGUAUGUACCCUACGAAUAGGUCGGCUACCC